GACGAACGCUGGCGGCGUGCUUAACACAUGCAAGUCGAACGGAAAGGCCCUGCUUUUGUGGGGUGCUCGAGUGGCGAACGGGUGAGUAACACGUGAGUAACCUGCCCUUGACUUUGGGAUAACUUCAGGAAACUGGGGCUAAUACCGGAUAGGAGCUCCUGCUGCAUGGUGGGGGUUGGAAAGUUUCGGCGGUUGGGGAUGGACUCGCGGCUUAUCAGCUUGUUGGUGGGGUAGUGGCUUACCAAGGCUUUGACGGGUAGCCGGCCUGAGAGGGUGACCGGCCACAUUGGGACUGAGAUACGGCCCAGACUCCUACGGGAGGCAGCAGUGGGGAAUAUUGCACAAUGGGCGGAAGCCUGAUGCAGCAACGCCGCGUGCGGGAUGACGGCCUUUGGGUUGUAAACCGCUUUCGCCUGUGACGAAGCGUGAGUGACGGUAAUGGGAAAAGAAGCACCGGCUAACUACGUG
rnacentral:rRNA from 1 species